AGUGAACGCUGGCGGUAGGCCUAACACAUGCAAGUCGAACGGCAGCACAGUAAGAGCUUGCUCUUACGGGUGGCGAGUGGCGGACGGGUGAGGAAUAUAUCGGAAUCUACUUUUUCGUGGGGGAUAACGUAGGGAAACUUACGCUAAUACCGCAUACGACCUACGGGUGAAAGCAGGGGAUCUUCGGACCUUGCGGGAUUGAAUGAGCCGAUGUCGGAUUAGCUAGUUGGCGGGGUAAAGGCCCACCAAGGCGACGAUCCGUAGCUGGUCUGAGAGGAUGAUCAGCCACACUGGAACUGAGACACGGUCCAGACUCCUACGGGAGGCAGCAGAGGGGAAUAUUGGACAAUAGGCGCAAGCCUGAUCCAGCCAUACCGCGUGUGUGAAGAAGGCCUUCGGGUUGUAAAGCCCUUUUGUUGGGAAAGAAAAGCAGCAGGUUAAUACCCCGCUGUUCUGACGGUACCCAAAGAAGAAGCACCGGCUAACUUCGUG
rnacentral:rRNA from 1 species